GUCACUGCUAUCAGUGUUCGACUAAGCCAUGCAAGUCAAAUGUUCUUCGUGAACAUGGCGGACUGCUCAGUAACACGUGGAUAACCUGCCCUUAGGAUUGGCAUAACACCGGGAAACUGGUGAUAAUACCGAAUAGACCAUUUAUGCUGGAAUGCUAUUUGGUUCAAAGGCUUCGGCUGCCUAAGGAUGGAUCUGCGGCCUAUCAGGUAGUAGUGGGUGUAAUGUACCUACUAGCCUACGACGGGUACGGGUUGUGAGAGCAAGAGCCCGGAGAUGGAUUCUGAGACAUGAAUCCAGGCCCUACGGGGCGCAGCAGGCGCGAAAACUUUACAAUGCGGGAAACCGCGAUAAGGGGACACUGAGUGCCAGCAUAUUAUGUUGGCUGUCCACAUGUAUAAAAACCAUGUGUUAGCAAGGGCCGGGCAAGACCGGUGCCAGCCGCCGCGGUAACACCGGCGGCCCGAGUGGUGAUCACUUUUAUUGGGUCUAAAGGGUCCGUAGCCGGUUUGAUCAGUCCUCCGGGAAAUCUGACAGCUCAACUGUUAGGCUUCCGGGGGAUACUGUCAGACUUGGGACCGGGAGAGGUAAGAGGUACUACAGGGGUAGGAGUGAAAUCUUGUAAUCCCUGUGGGACCACCAGUGGCGAAGGCGUCUUACCAGAACGGGUCCGACGGUGAGGGACGAAAGCUGGGGGCACGAACCGGAUUAGAUACCCGGGUAGUCCCAGCCGUAAACGAUGCUCGCUAGGUGUCAGGGACGGUGCGACCGUUUCUGGUGCCGCAGGG
rnacentral:rRNA from 1 species